rnacentral:tRNA from 1 species
GCUGGUUUGGCUCAAUGGAUAGAGUGUUGCCUAACAGGUCCUGGGUUUGAAUCCCAGUACAGGCA